rnacentral:rRNA from 1 species
AGAGUUUGAUCCUGGCUCAGGACGAACGCUGGCGGCGUGCUUAACACAUGCAAGUAGAACGAAGCGACCGGAUAAGUUUACUUAACUGGUCGACUUAGUUGCGGACGGGUGAGUAACGUGUGAGCAACCUGCCUUUGUGAGGGGGACAACAGCCGGAAACGGCUGCUAAUACCGCAUGAGACCACAGUUUCGCAUGAAACAGGGGUCAAAGAAAUUCGCACAAAGAUGGGCUCGCGUCCCAUUAGCUGGUUGGUGAGGUAACGGCUCACCAAGGCAACGAUGGGUAGCCGACCUGAGAGGGUGAUCGGCCACACUGGAACUGAGACACGGUCCAGACUCCUACGGGAGGCAGCAGUGGGGAAUAUUGGGCAAUGGGCGCAAGCCUGACCCAGCAACGCCGCGUGAGGGAAGAAGGUCUUCGGAUUGUAAACCUCUGUCCUUGGGGACGAAAAAAAUGACGGUACCCAAGGAGGAAGCUCCGGCUAACUACGUGCCAGCAGCCGCGGUAAUACGUAGGGAGCAAGCGUUGUCCGGAAUUACUGGGCGUAAAGGGUGCGUAGGCGGCAAGGCAAGUCAGAUGUGAAAUCCCCGGGCUUAACUCGGGUGGUGCAUUUGAAACUGCUUUGCUUGAGUGCAGGAGAGGAAAGCGGA